CUAUUAUAAAAGCGCGGAACACUCAGAAUCCAUGCUUUUAUUUGUUAUAUCAUAACAUUUUAACAUUUUGCUAAACUAAUGAAGUCUGCAGUUGUUAUUUUUUGUCUUGUUGUCCUAAUCAUUGGGAAUGAUUCCCUGGUUAAAGCAUCCGAAUAUGUGGAAUGUUCGAAGAAAGAAUGGAAGAGUUUAUUCGCCGGUAUUUCAUACAUAAAUAAUAUGCGUGAUUGCUUGGAACAUAUGACCGAUAUACAAGAUAUUCUGGAUACACUUGAAAACUAGAGGAAGAGGUUCAUCAAUACAAUGCUUUCUUCGAAAAAGAGCAUGAUGAUGAAGCAAAGUACGAUCGACUUAAUCAAUAUGGCGCACAAGUUAACAACACUAACUUUGAUAUCAAAUCAAUGGUUGCUGAAUUGGAUAAUUCCGAGGUAAACAAAUGUUUUGAACUGGAAGUGAAGAAAGCUGAUAAUGGAAUUGGUAAAGCUCGUCAUUGCAAAGAUUGAUAAAAUUAGUAACUUAAUAAUUGCAUAAUUAAACGUAGGUUUAACUUGAGAUUAGUAAAUUUGGUGGAUUUGAAAAUUUUAUAAAUAAAAUCAAAAGUACCUAUAUAACUCUUGUUUGCUUUUUUUCAAAGAAGUUAGAUGACCCAAUAUACACAUGUUUACUGUU